GAUCAUGGCUCAGGACGAACGCUGGCGGCGUGCUUAACACAUGCAAGUCGAACGGAGCACCCUUGAUUGAGGUUUCGGCCAAAUGAUAGGAAUGCUUAGUGGCGGACUGGUGAGUAACGCGUGAGGAACCUGCCUUUCAGAGGGGGACAACAGUUGGAAACGACUGCUAAUACCGCAUGACGCAUUUGGGUGGCAUCACCUGAAUGCCAAAGAUUUAUCGCUGAAAGAUGG
rnacentral:rRNA from 1 species